AUUAGUCCAGUCAGUCUGUAAAUCGACCUCAAACAAAUUGCAACAGAAAAUAUUUUACCUGGUAUAGAAAGUAUAUGGAAUAACAUGAAUCAUAUCAAAAGUCUAGCAAAAUCUAAGUUGCGCAACAUAGAAAAAAACGGGUUUUUAUCGCGUUAUUUUUUGUGAUUUUUUUCUGACGACAACGGUCUUCCAUAGGCGAACAAAGCGUCUCCGAUACUCAGAAUAGCGACUGCAUAAUGGCGACAACAACAACAAAAUAAGUGUAAACAAAUAAAUGUCAGUAAAGUACACUGUAAAGUGGGUUGGUAUAUUUUCCUUAAAAUAUUACAGAUCAUAAUAGGAAUUAUUAAUGUGGGGUCGGGUACCGCUUUGAGGUAGUCUUCAUUGAUGUAUGCUUGAUUUUGAAAAAAAAAAAAUCCAGUAAACUAUAUGUACACUAAAUGAAUUUCAUCAACACACCAGAGCCAAUGGGUAUGCCCGAUCAUGUGUUCUGAGGACACUGUGAUGUAUACGAGUUAAAGAUGAACUCCUGUCGGAUUUGUUAACGGCUGUUUGAUGAUCAUACAAAGACAGUUAAAGGCAACGAAAAGGAAUGCAAGGGAAUAAAUGCUGCCAGUGAGAAAUAAAAUGACAGUUUAAAAGUUGAAUCGGAAUAAUAUAUUCACAUUGAGUGUAGAAAGAUGUACUGUAACCCACAUUACACUAAAAGAGACACUAAGACAGAAAAAGAAAACACUGAUGCCACCAUUGAGAUCAAUGACUGAUAAGUUUUCAUACAAAAAAGAUUGUUUAUAUUGUGGUCAAUCUUUAAUAAGUAAGGGUAAAACAAGGAAGUGUGAUGUUUCGCCAGUAAGGACACUAGAACCUACUGUUUUGAAUAUAUGUAUACAGAGGAAUGACUGUUUGUCUGAUACAGUGAGAGCAAGGAUAGAACAGGUUCACAACUUGCUUGUAGCCGAUGCUCUUUACCAUCAAACAUGUUUAUGCUCCUCUAAUUUCAGAACUGGAAAAGAUAUACCAGAAGAAUUUCAGGUGCUACCAUCUAGUGAUAAAAAGUGAAAGAUUGGUCGACCAGAAAUUACAGAAGCGAGUGACGCUUUGUAAAAGUUAUGACAUUCUUGUGCUUAUGCUUAGCGAAGAUAUUUUACAAAUUAAAAUUUGCAAAUAUUUUUUUUUUACAUUUUAUGCUCAAAUGUAUCAAAUAUUUGAAAUUGACCUUCCAAAGGUCAAUGUCACCUCUUUUGACCCAAUGUCAUGAUGUUAUAUAAUGACUCAGAAAAAAAUACAACAGAUGUGCUUGAAAGUAUUCAAGUUAAUAUAAAACUCAAUAUUAUUAAUUUAUUAUCAUAGAUAAUAUAGAUUUCCUUAAUGUUUCUUUAUUUUGUAUAAAAUUACCCCACCCACUAGCUGUACAAUGUUAAUAUAAAUAUUUCAAUAUAUGCAUUAAAUAUUGAUGGAAUGUAAAUUAAAUUCAUAAAACGUUGAAACUUGACA